CCUACGGGUGGCAGCAGUGGGGAAUAUUGGACAAUGGGGGCAACCCUGAUCCAGCCAUGCCGCGUGUGUGAAGAAGGCCCUCGGGUUGUAAAGCACUUUCAGUGAGGAAGAACGCCUGGUGGUUAAUACCCAUCAGGAAAGACAUCACUCACAGAAGAAGCACCGGCUAACUCCGUGCCAGCAGCCGCGGUAAUACGGAGGGUGCGAGCGUUAAUCGGAAUUACUGGGCGUAAAGCGCGCGUAGGUGGCUUGAUAAGCCGGUUGUGAAAGCCCCGGGCUCAACCUGGGAACGGCAUCCGGAACUGUCAAGCUAGAGUGCAGGAGAGGAAGGUAGAAUUCCCGGUGUAGCGGUGAAAUGCGUAGAGAUCGGAGGAAUACCAGUGGCGAAGGCGGCCUUCUGGACUGACACUGACACUGAGGUGCGAAAGCGUGGGUAGCAAACAGGAUUAGAUACCCCGGUAGUC
rnacentral:rRNA from 1 species